AUGCGGAAAAAGCAAUUAGAUGUAGCAGAAUUUAGCAUCUAUUGGGAUGUCGAUUGCACUUUACUGGGGGAUUUGCCUCAGAUGGAGUUACAGAGUGACUACCAGAAGGAAAGCCAUUCUGAGCAGAGCAGGUGUUCUUGUGACACACAGGAGGCCAUGGCCAGGAGCAUGGAGAGUCGCAGCCAUCACUACGUCCUGGAGCCUGUGUUUGCAUCUGCUCUUUUGAAGAGAAACUGCUCCAAGAAGCCCCUGCGGUCUCGGCACAGUCCCCGUAUUGAUUGUGAUAUUCAGCUGGAGACCAUUCCCUUGAAACUCUCUCAGCUGCAGUACCGGCAAAUCAUGGAAUUCCUCAAGGAGCUGGAACGAAAGGAGAGGCGGGUGAAGUUCCGAAGGUGGAAACCCAAGGUGGCGAUAUCUAAGAACUGCCGGGAAUGGUGGUAUUU
rnacentral:sRNA from 1 species